rnacentral:rRNA from 1 species
GACGAACGUUGGCGGCGUGCUUAACACAUGCAAGUCGAACGGAAAGGCCCUGCUUUUGUGGGGUGCUCGAGUGGCGAACGGGUGAGUAACACGUGAGUAACCUGCCCUUGACUUUGGGAUAACUUCAGGAAACUGGGGCUAAUACCGGAUAGGAGCUCCUGCUGCAUGGUGGGGGUUGGAAAGUUUCGGCGGUUGGGGAUGGACUCGCGGCUUAUCAGCUUGUUGGUGGGGUAGUGGCUUACCAAGGCUUUGACGGGUAGCCGGCCUGAGAGGGUGACCGGCCACAUUGGGACUGAGAUACGGCCCAGACUCCUACGGGAGGCAGCAGUGGGGAAUAUUGCACAAUGGGCGGAAGCCUGAUGCAGCAACGCCGCGUGCGGGAUGACGGCCUUCGGGUUGUAAACCGCUUUCGCCUGUGACGAAGCGUGAGUGACGGUAAUGGGUAAAGAAGCACCGGCUAACUACGUGCCAGCAGCCGCGGUGAUACGUAGGGUGCGAGCGUUGUCCGGAUUUAUUGGGCGUAAAGGGCUCGUAGGUGGUUGAUCGCGUCGGAAGUGUAAUCUUGGGGCUUAACCCUGAGCGUGCUUUCGAUACGGGUUGACUUGAGGAAGGUAGGGGAGAAUGGAAUUCCUGGUGGAGCGGUGGAAUGCGCAGAUAUCAGGAGGAACACCAGUGGCGAAGGCGGUUCUCUGGGCCUUUCCUGACGCUGAGGAGCGAAAGCGUGGGGAGCGAACAGGCUUAGAUACCCUGGUAGUCCACGCUGUAAACGGUGGGUACUAGGUGUGGGGUCCAUUCCACGGGUUCCGUGCCGUAGCUAACGCUUUAAGUACCCCGCCUGGGGAGUACGGCCGCAAGGCUAAAACUCAAAGGAAUUGACGGGGCCCCGCACAAGCGGCGGAGCAUGCGGAUUAAUUCGAUGCAACGCGUAGAACCUUACCUGGGUUUGACAUGGAUCGGGAGUGCUCAGAGAUGGGUGUGCCUCUUUUGGGGUCGGUUCACAGGUGGUGCAUGGCUGUCGUCAGCUCGUGUCGUGAGAUGUUGGGUUAAGUCCCGCAACGAGCGCAACCCUUGUUCACUGUUGCCAGCACGUUAUGGUGGGGACUCAGUGGAGACCGCCGGGGUCAACUCGGAGGAAGGUGGGGAUGACGUCAAGUCAUCAUGCCCCUUAUGUCCAGGGCUUCACGCAUGCUACAAUGGCUGGUACAGAGAGUGGCGAGCCUGUGAGGGUGAGCGAAUCUCGGAAAGCCGGUCUCAGUUCGGAUUGGGGUCUGCAACUCGACCUCAUGAAGUCGGAGUCGCUAGUAAUCGCAGAUCAGCAACGCUGCGGUGGAUACGUUCCCGGGGCU